UGGGGAAUAUUGGACAAUGGGCGCAAGCCUGAUCCAGCCAUGCCGCGUGUGUGAAGAAGGCCUUUUGGUUGUAAAGCACUUUAAGCGAGGAGGAGGCUACUUGGAUUAAUACUCUAGGAUAGUGGACGUUACUUGCAGAAUAAGCACCGGCUAACUCUGUGCCAGCAGCCGCGGUAAUACAGAGGGUGCGAGCGUUAAUCGGAUUUACUGGGCGUAAAGCGUGCGUAGGCGGCUUUUUAAGUCGGAUGUGAAAUCCCUGAGCUUAACUUAGGAAUUGCAUUCGAUACUGGGAAGCUAGAGUAUGGGAGAGGAUGGUAGAAUUCCAGGUGUAGCGGUGAAAUGCGUAGAGAUCUGGAGGAAUACCGAUGGCGAAGGCAGCCAUCUGGCCUAAUACUGACGCUGAGGUACGAAAGCAUGGGGAGCAAACAGG
rnacentral:rRNA from 1 species